AUAAGCCAUGCAUGUCUCAGUACAAGCCAAAUUAAGGUGAAACCGCGAAAGGCUCAUUAAAUCAGUUAUGGUUCCUUAGAUCGUACCCACAUUUACUUGGAUAACUGUGGUAAUUCUAGAGCUAAUACAUGCAAACAGAGCUCCAACCGGAGACGGAAGGAGCGCUUUUAUUAGAUCAAAACCAAUCGGUGGCGAGCUUGCUCGUCAUCGUACAACUUGGUGACUCUGAAUAACUUUAAGCUGAUCGCACGGUCUCGCACCGGCGACGCAUCUUUCAAAUGUCUGCCUUAUCAACUGUCGAUGGUAGGUUCUGCGCCUACCAUGGUUGUAACGGGUAACGGGGAAUCAGGGUUCGAUUCCGGAGAGGGAGCCUGAGAAACGGCUACCACAUCCAAGGAAGGCAGCAGGCGCGCAAAUUACCCACUCCCGGCACGGGGAGGUAGUGACGAAAAAUAACGAUACGGGACUCAUCCGAGGCCCCGUAAUCGGAAUGAGUACACUCUAAACCCUUUAACGAGGAUCAAUUGGAGGGCAAGUCUGGUGCCAGCAGCCGCGGUAAUUCCAGCUCCAAUAGCGUAUAUUAAAGUUGUUGCGGUUAAAAAGCUCGUAGUCGAAUCUGUGUCCCGCGCCGCCGGUUCAUCGUUCGCGGUGUCAACUGGCGUGCCGCGGGACGUCCUGCCGGUGGGCUUAGCUCGCAAGGGCGGCCCAACUCAAUCCCGCCGCGGUGCUCUUCACUGAGUGUCGAGGUGGGCCGGCACGUUUACUUUGAACAAAUUAGAGUGCUUAAAGCAGGCUAAAACUUCGCCUGAAUACUGUGUGCAUGGAAUAAUGGAAUAGGACCUCGGUUCUAUUUUGUUGGUUUUCGGAACUCCGAGGUAAUGAUUAAUAGGAACGGAUGGGGGCAUUCGUAUUGCGACGUUAGAGGUGAAAUUCUUGGAUCGUCGCAAGACGGGACAGAAGCGAAAGCAUUUGCCAAAAACGCUUUCAUUGAUCAAGAACGAAGUUAGAGGUU
rnacentral:rRNA from 1 species